CUAAGUAAGAUGGAUUAUGAUCUCUUAAACUGGGUUAGGGAGUGCCAAAUGGAGAUAUGUUUGACCUCGACCUCAACCUGACUCGAUAUUGCUCGAGGGCCAGUCGAAGAGGCUUUCAACUCAUACCAUCACCUUGAAUAGGGCUCUACAUUGGACAACUUGCAUUCAGAUCUCUUCUUUGGAUUGAGGCCGACCGACCCAACAUCCUUGCUAAGCAUGCUAGGGGUUUCAUCCCUUAAAGCCUGGCUAUAUUGAGUUUUACUUAGGUCGAGGUCAAUCAUCCGAACAUUAUUCUUGCCAGACACGCUUUAUGGUUAAUUUCAUCCCUCUAAGGCCUGACUUAUGUUGGACCUUUGGCUUUUGGAGUUUUAUCAUGGGCUUGACUUUGACUGUGGUCGAGGUCGACUAGGCCCUUCUUCUUUUGUUGUUCUUGUACUAUUUUGCUUGCCUUUGGUUUCAAAAUCUAGCUACAAAACCAACCAUUAAGGUUAAA